rnacentral:rRNA from 1 species
CACGUAGGGCGCAAGCGUUGUCCGGAAUUAUUGGGCGUAAAGAGCUCGUAGGCGGUCUGUCACGUCGGCUGUGAAAACCUGGGCUCAACCCGGGCCUGCAGCCGAUACGGGCAGACUAGAAUUCGGUAGGGGAGACUGGAAUUCCUGGUGUAGCGGUGAAAUGCGCAGAUAUCAGGAGGAACACCGGUGGUGUAGACGGCUUUCUGGACCGUAACUGACGCUGAGACACGAAAGCGUGGGUAGCAAACAGG